UACAGAGGGGGCGAGCGUUAUUCGGAAUUAUUGGGCGUAAAGGGCGCGUAGGCGGCUUUGCAAGUGACGGGUGAAAGCCCUCGGCUUAACCGAGGAACUGCCUGUCAGACUGUGAGGCUUGAGACCGGGAGAGGUGAGUGGAAUUCCCAGUGUAGCGGUGAAAUGCGUAGAUAUUGGGAGGAACACCAGUGGCGAAGGCGGCUCACUGGACCGGAACUGACGCUGAGGCGCGAAAGCGCGGGGAGCAAACAGG
rnacentral:rRNA from 1 species